CAGUAGCCACGGUAAUACGUAGGUGGUAAGCGUUGUCCGGAAUUAUUGGGCGUAAAGGGCUCGCAGGCGGUUUCUUAAGUCUGAUGUGAAAGCCCCCGGCUCAACCGGGGAGGGUCAUUGGAAACUGGGAAACUUGAGUGCAGAAGAGGAGAGUGGAAUUCCACGUGUAGCGGUGAAAUGCGUAGAGAUGUGGAGGAACACCAGUGGCGAAGGCGACUCUCUGGUCUGUAACUGACGCUGAGGAGCGAAAGCGUGGGGAGCGAACAGGAUUAGAUACCCGGGUAGUCCCUGUCUCUUAUAC
rnacentral:rRNA from 1 species